GCCGAGUUGGAUAACUCCAACUUAUGACUCAAGUGGGGGCAAUAAAUUGAUGGAACAAGACAUUAUGUUA
rnacentral:SRP_RNA from 1 species